rnacentral:tRNA from 1 species
GGGGAGGUGCCGGAGUGGACGAUCGGGGCCGCCUGCUAAGUGGUUGUCGGGGUUAUACUCGACCGAGGGUUCGAAUCCCUCCCUCCCCGCCA